ACGACUGGGACCAUUCCACCUA
rnacentral:miRNA from 1 species